UCCGCUGUUAAAACACAAGGAGCAGCCUGGAGAAUUUUGAGCUGCGUCACACAGCUCUGAGGGAGAGAGAGAGAGAGAGAGCAAGCUCUGUCGAUAGGUCUAGUAGCAACAGCCCUGCUGCAGUGAGAGAGAGACAGAGACAGACAGAUCAUGAGAGAAGUAAUAACAACAUUGUGAGCAUGAUUUUUUUCAGCCAUCUAGCAUCUUUUAAAAAAAGAAAUAUUAUUUGGGGACUAAUUUCAUACCGGCGGUUUUGUUCGUUGACGAUAUGGGAAAGAUGCAACGCAGUUAAUCCCGCAAUUGGGGGGGGGGGGGGGCAGGCAUAGGAAGGGUUAAUAGGAGGAAAAUUCUGGAAUGUUCUAUCCUGCGACGAAGUGAACAGAGGGCUGAGGACUGCACAGGUGUAGACAAACUGAUCUCACGGUUCCUCUUUUUCUUUACUGUGAAACCUUGCUCUGCAGAGCUGACUCCUCCGGAGGCAGUCUUGCAUCCUGCAGUGCUUGUUCCGCAGAGGAGGCAACAGGAGACCCAACUGUGAUGGCCGCUCUGAUGAAGGGUUGGAUUCACUGCUGAGAUUACGUUUGUUGCUGGCAGGAGCAGGGAGAAUUUAAUGCAGAUGGUGGGCAUGAUAAGAUUGGUCUCCCAGGAAAGCUGAGAACAGCCUUCCUUUAAUAAGGAGAACCAGAGAGUCUUUACUGAGGCCGAAAUUCUCCCUCAUAACCAUGGAAUUGUUUCACUGCACUAAGACUGCACCAUUUGAUGAAGUAGGUUGAGGCCACAAAAU